rnacentral:rRNA from 1 species
UGACGUGCAAAUCGUUCGUCAAACUUGAGUGAAGGGGCGAAAGACUAAUCGAACCAUCUAGUAGCUGGUUCCCUCUGAAGUUUCUCUCAGGAUAGCUGGAACAAAAACGCAGUUUUAUUAGGUAAAGCGAAUGAUUAGAGGAAUCGGAGUUCAAAGAAUUUUGACCUAUUCUCAAACUUUAAAUUGGUAAGAACCGGGGGUUGACUUAAGUGAACCUUUGGGCAGAAUGCUUGUUCCAUGUGGGCCAUUUUUGGUAAGCAGAACUGGCGAUGAGGGAUGAACCUAACGCUUAGAUAAG